rnacentral:lncRNA from 1 species
UGGAAUACAGCAGUAAAGAAAAGAAAAUAGAGAAAAGUUAAAAGAAAGCAAAUCAACACUGAAGAAGUCUCCUUUUUGGGUCCAUGCGCAGGAGUCAAUUUUGCAAUAUCCUCCCUAUUUGAUUCCGUGGAAAAAGAAAUGCUUUGAUUAUUUUGUUCAUAUGUAGUGAUGAUAUGGAAUACAGCAUAAAGAAAAGAAAAUAGAGAAAAGUUAAAAGAAA